rnacentral:rRNA from 1 species
UACAGAGGGUGCGAGCGUUAAUCGGAAUUACUGGGCGUGAAGCGUGCGUAGACGGUAGCGUAAGUCAGAUGUGAAAGCCCCGGGCUCAACCUGGGAAUUGCAUUUGAGACUGCUCUGCUCGGGUGCGGAAGAGGGAAGCGGAAUUUCCGGUGUAGCGGUGAAAUGCGUAGAUAUCGGAAGGAACACCAGUGGCGAAAGCGGCUUCCUGGUCCGACACCGACGUUCAGGCACGAAAGCGUGGGGAGCAAACAGG